UUCCGCAAUAAGAUUGUAAAAUAGCGUUUAUGUUAUCAGGAACCGACCUCGGAAAAUUCGCCAGCUAAACAUUAUCAAUAUUAUAAAAUGUACACAAGUGUGAAUGUAUAGUUUACAGUGUAUCUCGGGGUUUAUGUUAAUUUAUCUACAUUUUCUAAAAAAAGUUUAUUUGUAUUUAUGUCCGUGUUAAUAAUAACGCGAAAUAUCGGUUUAGAUUGACCUCUUCAUAUAGCUAGACGACUGUAGAUUAUUAUAUUGCCU